CUAUAUAAAACAGCCUCCACCCUUUCCUCUUCCCUCACUCCCUCGUCGCUUGCAGCAGGGCCGUCGACGUAACUCCAAAAUAAAAGCCAGAAGGGACUAUAACCUGAUUUGACUUUGUCUCCAGCUCAGGAGAGUCAUCAGAAACUGUCUGGUAUCUGAAGGGGUGAAAAAUGAAACUUGAUGAGUUGGUGAGAUCGUCCUUCAGGCGCAGCACUGACUGCUUCCCAUAUGUGGUCACAUUACAGGAAUCAGCUGUUGCCCUCUACAUCCAGGACAGAUCUACAAGUCUUUGGAUCAGUUAAAGUGAUGGCUGGCCGGUAGAAGGGCAAAAUGAAGAUAUGUUCAGCCUUCUGACUGAGAAUCAGCCAUCCUUAAAUGGAUUUCAACAUGACGAACAUGGAUGAGAGAGUCACGAUGUCGUUGAUUUUAGGGGGACUGGAAAUCUGUUUCCAAUGACGUACACAGGUCGUCCCCAGAAUCGGUAUGACUUGAUUCAUCGAGACCUACUGGACUGAAGAAGACAGAAUCUUAAAAGGUGACAACUGGGGCUUGAGAUUUACCUGGAUGGGUGUGCUGGGAUGCAGCUCUCAGGCAUGAUGAGCGAGGAGAGACCUGGUUCCUGGGACCCGGUCUCUGCUCUGCGGACGGCUGCCCAAGAUCUGUGGGAUGAAGACUGAAGAUGUCUGAGAUUGUCAGACUGCUGAAAAGUGGAGUUUUUGAAAUGUAACUUGAAAGAUUGUGUGAAAAUAAAGAUACUUAACAGCAA